AACGCUAGCUACAGGCUUAACGCAUGCAAGUUGAGGGGCAGCAUGGUCUUAGCUUGCUAAGGCCGAUGGCGACCGGCGCACGGGUGAGUAACACGUAUCCAACCUGCCGUCUACUCUUGGACAGCCUUCUGAAAGGAAGAUUAAUACAAGAUGGCAUCAUGAGUCCGCAUGUUCACAUGAUUAAAGGUAUUCCGGUAGACGAUGGGGAUGCGUUCCAUUAGAUAGUAGGCGGGGUAACGGCCCACCUAGUCUUCGAUGGAUAGGGGUUCUGAGAGGAAGGUCCCCCACAUUGGAACUGAGACACGGUCCAAACUCCUACGGGAGGCAGCAGUGAGGAAUAUUGGUCAAUGGGCGAGAGCCUGAACCAGCCAAGUAGCGUGAAGGAUGACUGCCCUAUGGGUUGUAAACUUCUUUUAUAAAGGAAUAAAGUCGGGUAUGUAUACCCGUUUGCAUGUACUUUAUGAAUAAGGAUCGGCUAACUCCGUGCCAGCAGCCGCGGUAAUACGGAGGAUCCGAGCGUUAUCCGGAUUUAUUGGGUUUAAAGGGAGCGUAGAUGGAUGUUUAAGUCAGUUGUGAAAGUUUGCGGCUCAACCGUAAAAUUGCAGUUGAUACUGGAUAUCUUGAGUGCAGUUGAGGCAGGCGGAAUUCGUGGUGUAGCGGUGAAAUGCUUAGAUAUCACGAAGAACUCCGAUUG
rnacentral:rRNA from 1 species